UUGGUUCUAUUUCCACACGCAACAAACAUAGUGUGAACCAGUUAUAUUUCUCAAACAAUUUAUUAAUAAAGCGCCCAUGUACCUGCG